rnacentral:lncRNA from 1 species
CAAGGGGAGUGACAGAUAUAGGGAAGAUAAUCAACGAGGUCAUGUCCAGAUCCUCAAAAUGUUCUACAGCUGUACCAUCGAGAGCAUCCUGACCGGUUGCAUCACCGCCUGGUAUGGCAACUGCUCUGCAGCCGACCGUAAGGCGCUACAGAGGGUAGUGCGUACGUCCCAAUACAUCACUGGGCCAAGCUUCCUGCCAUCCAGGACCUAUAUACAAGGCAGUGUCAGAGGAAGGACCAACAAAUUGUCGAAGACUCCAGUCACCCAAGUCAUAGGCUGUUUUCUCUGCUACCGCACGGCAAGAUGUACCGGAGCGCCAAGUCUAGGUCAAACAGGCUUCUAAACAGCUUCUACCCCCAAGCUAUAAAACUGCUGAACAAUUAAUCAAAUGGCCACCUGGACUAUUUACAUAUUUACAUUGACCCCCCUUUGUUUUUACACUGCUUCUACUUGUGUCACGUCCUGACCAGUAUAAGGGGUUAUUGGUUAUUGUAGUUUGGUCAGGACGUGGCAGGGGGUUUUUGUUUUAUGUGGUUCGGGGUUUGUUGGGAUAUGUUCUUAUGUAGAGGGGUGUUUGUUUUAUGUGUUUCGGGGUUUUUGGGUAUUGCUCUAUGUUUUGUAUUUCUAUGGUUUUUCUAUGUUGUGUAUUUCUUUGUUGGCCUGGUAUGGCUCUCAAUCAGGAACAGCUGUACAUCGUUGUUGCUGAUUGGGAGUCAUACUUAGGUAGCCCUUUUUUCACCUGUCUUUUG